rnacentral:rRNA from 1 species
GACGAACGCUGGCGGCGCGCCUAACACAUGCAUGUCGAACGGAGCUGAGAGAAGCUUGCUUUUCUUAGCUUAGUGGCGAACGGGUGAGUAACGCGUGAGUAACCUGCCCUGGAGUGGGGGACAACAGUUGGAAACGACUGCUAAUACCGCAUAAGCCCACGAUCCGGCAUCGGAUUGAGGGAAAAGGAUUUAUUCGCUUCAGGAUGGACUCGCGUCCAAUUAGCUAGUUGGUGAGGUAACGGCCCACCAAGGCGACGAUUGGUAGCCGGACUGAGAGGUUGAACGGCCCCAUUGGGACUGAGACACGGCCCAGACUCCUACGGGAGGCAGCAGUGGGGGAUAUUGCACAAUGGGGGAAACCCUGAUGCAGCGACGCCGCGUGGAGGAAGAAGGUUUUCGGAUUGUAAACUCCUGUCGUUAGGGACGAUAAUGACGGUACCUAACAAGAAAGCACCGGCUAACUACGUG